rnacentral:sRNA from 1 species
CUGCGGCGGGAACCAAAAAAGACAAGGAAAAGGACAAGGGGAAAUGGAAGGGGCCUCCAGGGUCUGCAGACAAGGCAGGGAAACAUUUUGAUGGUAAAUUACAAUCAGAAUCAACUAAUAAUGGAAAAAAUAAGAGAGAUGUAGAUUUCGAAGGUACAGAUGAACCCAUUUUUGGAAAGAAGCCCAGGAUAGAAGAGUCAAUAACUGAAGACUUAAGUUUGGCAGACCUGAUGCCCAGAGUCAAGGGGGAGAUGGCCUGCAUCUUGUGGUUGAUGAAAAUGGUGACUUCAGAGAAGAUAAUUUUAAUACUGCAAUGCAAGUGCUUCGAGAUGCAGGUGAUUUGGCCAAAGGAGACCAGAAAGGGCGGAAAGGAGGAACAAAAGGACCAUCAAAUGUUUUCAAAAUUGUGAAGAUGAUUAUGGAAAGAAAUUUCCAACCUGUGAUUAUUUUCAGUUUUAGUAAGAAAGAUUGUGAAGCCUAUGCACUUCAAAUGACCAAAU